GUAGUUAGCCGGGGCUUUCUUACAGGGUACCGUCACUUCUUCGUCCCCUGCGACAGAGGUUUACAAUCCGAAAACCUUCUUCCCUCACGCGGCGUUGCUGGGUCAGGCUUGCGCCCAUUGCCCAAUAUUCCCCACUGCUGCCUCCCGUAGGAGUCUGGACCGUGUCUCAGUUCCAGUGUGGCCGAUCAGCCUCUCAGCUCGGCUACCCAUCGUCGGCUUGGUGGGCUGUUAUCUCACCAACUACCUAAUGGGACGCGAACCCCUCUAAAAGCGAUAAAUCUUUGACCUCUUCCCGAUGCCGGGUUGUGGUCUUAUGCGGUAUUAGCAGUUGUUUCCACCUGUUAUUCCCCACUCUUAGGCAGGUUGUUCACGCGUUACUCACCCGUGCGCCACUAGAAUUAUCAAUUCCAUCCGAAAACUUCCUUAAUAAUCCCCGUUNACUUGCAUGUGUUAGGCACGCCGCCAGCGUUCGUCCUGAGCCAUGAUCAAACUCUGA
rnacentral:rRNA from 1 species